UACGGAGGGAGCUAGCGUUAUUCGGAAUUACUGGGCGUAAAGCGCACGUAGGCGGCUUUGUAAGUUAGAGGUGAAAGCCUGGAGCUCAACUCCAGAAUUGCCUUUAAGACUGCAUCGCUUGAAUCCAGGAGAGGUGAGUGGAAUUCCGAGUGUAGAGGUGAAAUUCGUAGAUAUUAGGAAGAACACCAGUGGCGAAGGCGGCUCACUGGCCCGGUACUGACGCUGAGGCGCGAAAGCGUGGGGAGCAAAGCAGG
rnacentral:rRNA from 1 species